rnacentral:misc_RNA from 1 species
UUUCCGUAGGUGAACCUGCGGAAGGAUCAUUAACGUACUAAGUGUGAGGUGCCUCCGCGGGCUGUCCCUUUCUCAGAAUUCGUGCACGCCCGUGUGUGUCCUCUUGCAUAAUAAUCCACCUCACCCUCUUUGCAUCCCCGCUUGGGCACCCUCCGGGAUCAUCCCGGCUUAGGGCUCGCGUUUUCACACAAACCCCCCUUUUAAAAGUUUAGAAUGUCCACAUUAAUCUUAUCACUACAACUUUCAACAAUGGAUCUCUUGGCUCUCGCACCGACGAAG